GCCUGGGUGGCUCAGUUGGUUGAGCGUCUGACUUCAGCUCGGGUCACGAUCUCACGGUCCGUGAGUUCGAGCCCCGCGUCGGGCU
rnacentral:tRNA from 1 species